rnacentral:rRNA from 1 species
UCGUGUCGUGAGAUGUUGGGUUAAGUCCGUAACCGAGCGCAACCCUUGUCCUUAGUUACCAGCACGUUAUGGUGGGCACUCUAAGGAGACUGCCGGUGACAAACCGGAGGAAGGUGGGGAUGACGUCAAGUCAUCAUGGCCCUUACGGCCUGGGCUACACACGUGCUACAAUGGUCGGUACAAAGGGUUGCCAAGCCGCGAGGUGGAGCUAAUCCCAUAAAACCGAUCGUAGUCCGGAUCGCAGUCUGCAACUCGACUGCGUGAAGUCGGAAUCGCUAGUAAUCGUGAAUCAGAAUGUCACGGUGAAUACGUUCCCGGGCCUU